CGGGAUUUAGCUCAGUGGUAGAGCGCUUGCCUAGCAAGUGCGAGGCCCUGGGUUCGGUUCCCAGCUCCGA
rnacentral:tRNA from 1 species